AUUGAACGCUGGCGGCAGGCCUAACACAUGCAAGUCGAACGGUAGCACAGAGAGCUUGCUCUCGGGUGACGAGUGGCGGACGGGUGAGUAACGUCUGGGAAACUGCCCGAUGGAGGGGGAUAACUACUGGAAACGGUAGCUAAUACCGCAUAACGUCGCAAGACCAAAGUGGGGGACCUUCGGGCCUCACACCAUCGGAUGUGCCCAGAUGGGAUUAGCUAGUAGGUGGGGUAAUGGCUCACCUAGGCGACGAUCCCUAGCUGGUCUGAGAGGAUGACCAGCCACACUGGAAAUGAGACACAGUCCAGACGCCUACGGGAGGCAGCAGUGGGGAAUAUUGCACAAUGGGCGCAAGCCUGAUGCAGCCAUGCCGCGUGUAUGAAGAAGGCCUUCGGGUUGUAAAGUACUUUCAGCGGGGAGGAAGGCGGUGAGGUUAAUAACCUCGCCGAUUGACGUUACCCGCAGAAGAAGCACCGGCUAACUCCGUGCCAGCCGCCGCAGUAACAC
rnacentral:rRNA from 1 species